CACCGGCAGCCCAAGUGGUGGCCAUUUUUAUUGGGCCUAAAGCGUUCGUAGCCGGCCUGAUAAGUCUCUGGUGAAAUCCCACGGCUUAACCGUGGGAAUUGCUGGAGAUACUAUCAGGCUUGAGGUCGGGAGAGGUUAGAGGUACUCCCAGGGUAGGGGUGAAAUCCUAUAAUCCUGGGAGGACCACCUGUGGCGAAGGCGUCUAACUGGAACGAACCUGACGGUGAGUAACGAAAGCCAGGGGC
rnacentral:rRNA from 1 species